rnacentral:rRNA from 1 species
UACGGGGGGGGUAAGCGCUGUUCGGAAUUACUGGGCGUAAAGGGCUCGUAGGCGGCCAACUAAGUCAUACGUGAAAUCCCUCAGCUUAACCGGGGAACUGCGUCUGAUACUGGAUGGCUUGAGUGUGGGAGAGGGAUGCGGAAUUCCAGGUGUAGCGGUGAAAUGCGUAGAUAUCUGGAGGAACACCGGUGGCGAAGGCGGCAUCCUGGACCAUUACUGACACUGAGGAGCGAAAGCCAGGGGAGCAAACGGG